rnacentral:rRNA from 1 species
GUGCCAGCCGCCGCGGUCAUACGUAGGUGGUAAGCGUUGUCCGGAAUUAUUGGGCGUAAAGCGCGCGCAGGCGGUCUCUUAAGUCUGAUGUGAAAGCCCACGGCUCAACCGUGGAGGGUCAUUGGAAACUGGGGGACUUGAGUACAGAAGAGGAAAGUGGAAUUCCACGUGUAGCGGUGAAAUGCGUAGAUAUGUGGAGGAACACCAGUGGCGAAGGCGACUUUCUGGUCUGUAACUGACGCUGAGGCGCGAAAGCGUGGGGAGCAAACAGGAUUAGAUACCCUUGUAGUCC